GGGAAAGGGGUGAGAGCAGAGUGGGGGAUAGGUAGCGGUGAGGUGGUGUCCGGAUUUCUGGGUCGUAAAGGGCGGGUAGGUGGGGGGUCGCGUCGGAAGUGUAAUCUUUGGGUGUAUCCAGGGGCGGUCUUUCGAUACGGGGUGACUUGAGGAAGGUAGGGGGGAAUGGAAUUCGUGGUGGAGCGGUGCAAUGCGCAGAUAGCAGGAGGAACACCAGUGGCGAAGGCGGUUCUCUGGGCCUUUACUGACGCUGAGGAGCGAAAGCGUGGGGAGCGAACAGGAUUAGAUACCCUGGUAGUC
rnacentral:rRNA from 1 species